AUUGAACGCUGGCGGCAGGCCUAAUACAUGCAAGUCGAACGGGAUUAAGAGGCUUGCUUCUUAUGAGAGUGGCGCACGGGUGCGUAACACGUAUGCAACCUACCUUUAACUGGGGGAUAGCCUUCCGAAAGGGAGAUUAAUACCGCAUAACAUAAUUGAACGGCAUCGUUUGAUUAUCAAACUUCCAAGGGUUAAAGAUGGGCAUGCGUCCGAUUAGUUAGUUGGUGAGGUAACGGCUCACCAAGGCAUCGAUCGGUAGGGGAUCUGAGAGGAUGACACCCCACACUGGUACGGAGACACGGACCAGACUCCUACGGGAGGCAGCAGUAAGGAAUAUUGGUCAAUGGACGCAAGUCUGAACCAGCCAUGCCGCGUGCAGGAAGACGGUCCUCUGGAUUGUAAACUGCUUUUGUUAGGGAAGAAACCCUCUGAUGCGUCAGAGGCUGACGGUACCUAAAGAAUAAGGAUCGGCUAACUCCGUGCCAGCCGCCGCCGUAAAAC
rnacentral:rRNA from 1 species